rnacentral:rRNA from 1 species
GACGAACGCUGGCGGCGUGCCUAACACAUGCAAGUCGAGCGAAUGAAGUUCCUUCGGGAAUGGAUUUAGCGGCGGACGGGUGAGUAACACGUGGGCAACCUGCCUCAUAGAGGGGAAUAGCCUCCCGAAAGGGAGAUUAAUACCGCAUAAGAUUGUAGUACCGCAUGAUACAGCAAUUAAAGGAGCAAUCCGCUAUGGGAUGGGCCCGCGGCGCAUUAGCUAGUUGGUGAGGUAAUGGCUCACCAAGGCGACGAUGCGUAGCCGACCUGAGAGGGUGAUCGGCCACAUUGGGACCGAGACACGGCCCAGACUCCUACGGGAGGCAGCAGUGGGGAAUAUUGCACAAUGGGGGAAACCCUGAUGCAGCAACGCCGCGUGAGUGAUGACGGCCUUCGGGUUGUAAAGCUCUGUCUUCAGGGACGAUAAUGACGGUACCUGAGGAGGAAGCCACGGCUAACUACGUG